rnacentral:sRNA from 1 species
GCUGGGCACGGUGGUGCAUGCCUGUAAUCCUAGCAGCUCAGGAGGCUGAGACAGAAGGAUCACAAGUUCAAAGCCAGCCUCAGCAACAGUGAGGUGCUAAGUGAGACCCUGUCUCAGUGAGACCCUGUCUCUA